rnacentral:rRNA from 1 species
UACGAAGGGGGCGAGCGUUGUUCGGAAUUACUGGGCGUAAAGGGCGCGUAGGCGGCCCCUUUUGUCGCGUGUGAAAGCCCCGGGCUCAACCUGGGGACUGCAUUUGAUACUGGGUUGCUUGAAUUCGGGAGAGGAUAGCGGAAUUCCCAGUGUAGAGGUGAAAUUCGUAGAUAUUGGGAAGAACACCGGUGGCGAAGGCGGCUAUCUGGACCGACAUUGACGCUGAGGCGCGAAAGCGUGGGGAGCAAACAGG